rnacentral:rRNA from 1 species
UUACUCUUCGGAGUGAGAGCGUACACAGGUGCUGCAUGGCUGUCGUCAGCUCGUGUCGUGAGAUGUGGGUUAAGUCCCGCAACGAGCGCAACCCUGCAUUCAGUUGCCAUCGGUAAGGCCGGGCACUCUGGAUGGACUGCCGGCGACAAGCCGGAGGAAGGUGGGGACGACGUCAAGUCAUCAUGGCCCUUAUGUCCAGGGCGACACACGUGCUACAAUGGCCGGCACAACGGGAAGCGAAGGGGCGACCCUGAGCGGAUCCCACAAAAGCCGGUCUCAGUUCGGAUUGCAGUCUGCAACUCGACUGCAUGAAGUUGGAAUCGCUAGUAAUCGUGGAUCAGCCAAGCCGCGGUGAAUACGUUCCCGGGCCUU